rnacentral:misc_RNA from 1 species
GAAAAACACAUCUUUAUUUUCUCCUUUGCUUAGAAUUAAAUCGCAUAAUAGUGUUAAAGGACAAACCAAAAUGCUUUUAAUAUUCAUACAUAACGCCACCAGCAGCCAGCCAGUAAGCAUAGCAAAAAACCAUGCCACAAGUAAACGAGUUUAAGAAAGAAUACCGUAAAAUCUAGCAAGACAAAUUAAUGGUAUCAUCAGCUUUAGCUUUCUGCUUUCCUCACAUAUCACCAGAACAAUCCUGCAACGAUUCUAAG